rnacentral:rRNA from 1 species
GUGUCAGCCGCCGCGGUAAUACGAAGGUGGCGAGCGUUGUUCGGAUUCACUGGGCAUAAAGGGCGCGUAGGCGGUUCCGCAAGCAGCGUGUGAAAUCCCAUGGCUCAACCAUGGAACAGCGCGCUGGACUGCGGUUCUAGAGGACCGGAGGGGGGUGUGGAACUCUCGGUGUAGCGGUGAAAUGCGUAGAUAUCGAGAGGAACACCGGUGGCGAAAGCGGCACCCUGGCCGGUUUCUGACGCUGAGGCGCGAAAGCGUGGGUAGCAAACAGGAUUAGAUACCCGAGUAGUCC